rnacentral:rRNA from 1 species
AUUGAACGCUGGCGGCAUGCCUUACACAUGCAAGUCGAACGGUAACGCGGGGCAACCUGGCGACGAGUGGCGAACGGGUGAGUAAUAUAUCGGAACGUGCCCAGUAGUGGGGGAUAGCCCGGCGAAAGCCGGAUUAAUACCGCAUACGACCUAAGGGUGAAAGCGGGGGAUCGCAAGACCUCGCGCUAUUGGAGCGGCCGAUAUCAGAUUAGGUAGUUGGUGGGGUAAAGGCCUACCAAGCCUACGAUCUGUAGCUGGUCUGAGAGGACGACCAGCCACACUGGGACUGAGACACGGCCCAGACUCCUACGGGAGGCAGCAGUGGGGAAUUUUGGACAAUGGGCGCAAGCCUGAUCCAGCCAUGCCGCGUGC